rnacentral:rRNA from 1 species
GGGUUGUGAGGUUAAGCGACUAAGCGUACACGGUGGAUGCCCUGGCAGUCAGAGGCGAUGAAGGNNNNNNNNNNNNNNNNNNNNNNNCCGAAUGGGGAAACCCAGUGUGAUUCGUCACACUAUCAUUAACUGAAUCCAUAGGUUAAUGAGGCGAACCGGGGGAACUGAAACAUCUAAGUACCCCGAGGAAAAGAAAUCAACCGAGAUUCCCCCAGUAGCGGCGAGCGAACGGGGAGGAGCCCAGAGCCUGAAUCAGCAUGUGUGUUAGUGGAAGCGUCUGGAAAGGCGCGCGAUACAGGGUGACAGCCCCGUACACAAAAGCGCAUGUGCUGUGAGCUCGAUGAGUAGGGCGGGACACGUGGUAUCCUGUCUGAAUAUGGGGGGACCAUCCUCCAAGGCUAAAUACUCCUGACUGACCGAUAGUGAACCAGUACCGUGAGGGAAAGGCGAAAAGAACCCCGGCGAGGGGAGUGAAAAAGAACCUGAAACCGUGUACGUACAAGCAGUGGGAGC